GCCAGCUGGAGUUUUCCUUGUUUGGAGGAGUCCUGAAAAGGCCAGUACAGUCGGAAUCCUGCAGAAGAGGAGACUGGGAACCCAUACCAGGCAAGAGAGGUAACUACAGUUGUAGUCAGCAUGCUAAUAGCAACAAAGGCACGUGUCUGCUGCAACCUCAGUAAGAGCCAGCUGACAGCCAACUGGGUUCUGCGGUACACAAUCAAGGUCCUCUCCCCGCUUUCAGAACACCAGGAGAAGCUGAAGGAGUUAUUUGUCAAGAGAAGCCACAUUCUUUAUAGUGUCAACUACAAAAUAAUAAUAAUAGCGAUACCUGUGAAACUGUAUAGUAUAAUAAAAAUUACGUUUGGUCUUUA